rnacentral:rRNA from 1 species
CAGGCUUAACACAUGCAAGUCGAGGGGCAGCAUGGUCUUAGCUUGCUAAGGCCGAUGGCGACCGGCGCACGGGUGAGUAACACGUAUCCAACCUGCCGUCUACUCUUGGACAGCCUUCUGAAAGGAAGAUUAAUACAAGAUGGCAUCAUGAGUCCGCAUGUUCACAUGAUUAAAGGUAUUCCGGUAGACGAUGGGGAUGCGUUCCAUUAGAUAGUAGGCGGGGUAACGGCCCACCUAGUCUUCGAUGGAUAGGGGUUCUGAGAGGAAGGUCCCCCACAUUGGAACUGAGACACGGUCCAAACUCCUACGGGAGGCAGCAGUGAGGAAUAUUGGUCAAUGGGCGAGAGCCUGAACCAGCCAAGUAGCGUGAAGGAUGACUGCCCUAUGGGUUGUAAACUUCUUUUAUAAAGGAAUAAAGUCGGGUAUGGAUACCCGUUUGCAUGUACUUUAUGAAUAAGGAUCGGCUAACUCCGUGCCAGCAGCCGCGGUAAUACGGAGGAUCCGAGCGUUAUCCGGAUUUAUUGGGUUUAAAGGGAGCGUAGAUGGAUGUUUAAGUCAGUUGUGAAAGUUUGCGGCUCAACCGUAAAAUUGCAGUUGAUACUGGAUAUCUUGAGUGCAGUUGAGGCAGGCGGAAUUCGUGGUGUAGCGGUGAAAUGCUUAGAUAUCACGAAGAACUCCGAUUGCGACGGCAGCCUGCUAAGCUGCAACUGACAUUGAGGCUCGAAAGUGUGGGUAUCAAACAGGAUUAGAUACCCUGGUAGUCCACACGGUAAACGAUGAAUACUCGCUGUUUGCGAUAUACAGCAAGCGGCCAAGCGAAAGCGUUAAGUAUUCCACCUGGGGAGUACGCCGGCAACGGUGAAACUCAAAGGAAUUGACGGGGGCCCGCACAAGCGGAGGAACAUGUGGUUUAAUUCGACGAUACGCGAGGAACCUUACCCGGGCUUAAAUUGCAGAUGAAUUACGGUGAAAGCCGUAAGCCGCAAGGCAUCUGUGAAGGUGCUGCAUGGUUGUCGUCAGCUCGUGCCGUGAGGUGUCGGCUUAAGUGCCAUAACGAGCGCAACCCUUGUUGUCAGUUACUAACAGGUUCCGCUGAGGACUCUGACAAGACUGCCAUCGUAAGAUGUGAGGAAGGUGGGGAUGACGUCAAAUCAGCACGGCCCUUACGUCCGGGGCUACACACGUGUUACAAUGGGGGGUACAGAGGGCCGCUACCACGCGAGUGGAUGCCAAUCCCCAAAACCUCUCUCAGUUCGGACUGGAGUCUGCAACCCGACUCCACGAAGCUGGAUUCGCUAGUAAUCGCGCAUCAGCCACGGCGCGGUGAAUACGUUCCCGGGCCUUGUACACACCGCCCGUCAAGCCAUGGGAGCCGGGGGUACCUGAAGUGCGUAACCGCGAGGAGCGCCCUAGGGUAAAACUGGUGACUGGGGCUAAAU